UACGAAGGGGGCUAGCGUUGCUCGGAAUCACUGGGCGUAAAGGGCGCGUAGGCGGGGAGGUGAGUCGGGUGUGAAAUCCCUCGGCCCAACCGAGGAACUGCGCCCGAGACUGCUUCUCUUGAGUCCCGGAGAGGAAGAUGGAAUUCCCGGUGUAGCGGUGAAAUGUGUAGAGAUCGGGAGGAACACCGGUGGCGAAGGCGGUCUUCUGGACGGUGACUGACGCUGAGCGCGAAAGCGUGGGGAGCAAACGG
rnacentral:rRNA from 1 species